rnacentral:rRNA from 1 species
UACGAAGGGGGCUAGCGUUGCUCGGAAUCACUGGGCGUAAAGGGUGCGUAGGCGGGUCUUUUAAGUCAGGGGUGAAAUCCUGGAGCUCAACUCCAGAACUGCCUUUGAUACUGAGGAUCUUGAGUCCGGGAGAGGUGAGUGGAACUGCGAGUGUAGAGGUGAAAUUCGUAGAUAUUCGCAAGAACACCAGCGGCGAAGGCGGCUUUCUGGUCCGAUACUGACGCUGAGGUGCGAAAGCGUGGGGAGCGAGUCGG